rnacentral:rRNA from 1 species
GUGCCGCCGCCGCGGUAAUACGUAGGUGGCAAGCGUUGUCCGGAUUUACUGGGCGUAAAGGAUGUGUAGGCGGAUAUUUAAGUGAGAUGUGAAAUCCCCGGGCUUAACUUGGGGGCUGCAUUUCAAACUGGAUGUCUAGAGUGCAGGAGAGGAAAGCAGAAUUCCUAGUGUAGCGGUAAAAUGCGUUGUGAUUAGGAAGAAUACCAGUGGCGAAGGCGGCUUUCUGGACUGUAACUGACGGUGAGGCAUGAA